rnacentral:rRNA from 1 species
UGGGGAAUAUUGCACAAUGGGCGGAAGCCUGAUGCAGCGACGCCGCGUGGGGGAUGAAGGCCUUCGGGUUGUAAACUCCUUUCGACAGGGACGAAGCAUUUGUGUCGGCACCUGUACAACAAGCACCGGCUAACUACGUGCCAGCAGCCGCGCUAGUACGCAGGGUGCGUGCUUCGUCCGGAAUUACUGUGCGUACAGAGCCCGUAGGUGGUUUGUUGCGUUGUCUGCGAAAUUUCGGGGCUUAACUCCGGGCGUGCAGGUGAUACGGGCUGACUUGGGUGCUGUAGGGGGGACUGGAGUUCCUGGGGUAGCGGUGAAAUGCGCAGAUAUCAGGAGGAACACCGAUGGCGAAGGCAGGUCUCUGGGCAGUCACUGACGCUGAGGAGCGAAAGCGAGGGUAGCGAACAGG